rnacentral:rRNA from 1 species
UACGGGGGGGGCAAGCGUUGUUCGGAAUUACUGGGCGUAAAGGGCGCGUAGGCGGCCUUCUAAGUCGGAAGUGAAAUCCCUCGGCUUAACCGAGGAACUGCGUCCGAGACUGAAAGGCUUGAAUCCGGGAGAGGGAUGUGGAAUUCCAGGUGUAGCGGUGAAAUGCGUAGAUAUCUGGAGGAACACCGGUGGCGAAGGCGGCAUCCUGGACCGGCAUUGACGCUGAGGCGCGAAAGCUAGGGGAGCAAACGGG